UAAUGGUGCGGUUACGGCUUCAUCAGCUAGGAUGUACGCUAUUAAGUCUCAAAGGAACUUAAUUCUCUCACUGGUUGAAAGGCCAGGUGUAAACACAUUAACAAUG
rnacentral:ncRNA from 1 species